rnacentral:rRNA from 1 species
GAUGAACGCUAGCGACAGGCCUAACACAUGCAAGUCGAGGGGCAGCACAUGAGUAGCAAUACGAUGGUGGCGACCGGCGCACGGGUGAGUAUCGCGUAUGCAACCUACCUUCCACAGGGGGAUAGCCUUCCGAAAAGGAGAUUAAUACCGCAUAAAACAGGGGCCCCGCAUGGGGAUAUUUGUGAAAGAUGUAUCGGUGGGAGAGGGGCAUGCGUUCCAUUAGCUAGUUGGCGGGGUAAUGGCCCACCAAGGCAUCGAUGGAUAGGGGAACUGAGAGGUUUAUCCCCCACACUGGAACUGAGACACGGUCCAGACUCCUACGGGAGGCAGCAGUGAGGAAUAUUGGUCAAUGGGCGGGAGCCUGAACCAGCCAAGUCGCGUGAAGGAAGACGGUUCUAUGGAUUGUAAACUUCUUUUGCACUGGGGUAAAACGGGGGACGUGUCCCCCCUUGCAAGUACAGUGCGAAUAAGCAUCGGCUAACUCCGUGCCAGCCGCCGCGGUAA